AGGCAGACAGCAAAUCAGUCGGCCGAGGAGGUGCUGCGUUCUGCUGCCUGUUUGGAGAGGAACCACGCUACCAGAGAACAGGAUGUAUCCCCUGCUGAGCACCCCUGCUCUGGCUGGGAGAGGCCCCUUGUCCAGAGCCAGGGAAUCUCUUCUUGACCUCAUCAGACCAUGAGAAGGGUUCCUGAUCUCCUAGACCCUGUCUGAGAUGGGAAAAGGAUGAAAACACAACUGUAUGAUCUAUAUGUAAGCAUCUGCUUUACAGUCCCUUAAUACGAUGCAGCACUGUGGACAAGCCCGAGUCCUGAGUAUAUAGAGGAGAAUGAGCAAAUGGACAAAGCCACAACUGCUUGCUCACCACUGCCCUCGCUGCCCCAGCCUCUGGCAACCUCACAAGCUGAUCACUCCAACACUGGAAAGCAAACAGCUGUGAGCACAGAUGAAACCAGACAUUCCCCUUUUGAUCAGCCACUGGCCAGAGAGAUUUGUUGCCAUGUGAAGGAAGGCCCAAAACUUCUAUUUGAACACUUGUGGCUGCAGGGAAAGCAACAUUAACAUCUUCAUUUCUAAGCAGGAAGAAAAAAAUAGAGCUGUAGCAUUCUUGUGAUGCAAGGUGUCUGCCUGCGGUGGGGAUGGCCCUGGUGAGGGAUUUAGUUCCAAUGCAAAGGGAAGCAUUAGUUAAUGAGAUCUGAGCUCCUGUAUCAAGCAGACAGAGGAUGUCUCUAGCAGGAUGACUGUAAUUACGCAGAGUGGGGUGGGCUUCUCUGUCUGAAGCUGCCUUCAGUCAGGGGUCUCCUUGAAAUGUCUGCGGUGGUCCGGGGAAAGGUGGGAGCUGGCAAUGGAAUGGAAUCAUGUUGGAAGAUCUUCUCACCUGUCCUUUUCCUCACACUGUAGCAAGCUUUAGGACUUCUCCUUUCAAACGCCAUAGAAGCCUUCCUGCCAGGUACUGCAGGUACCAAAAUGAGUCAGUGCUGUGCUGCAGAUGGGGAAAAUUCAGGGGUCUGCCCUCGGCUGUGCACUGAGGAUGUUUUCGUUACCCCAGACAGAGGGGUUCUCCUGGGCAUGUGAGAUCCCUGCUUUGCACAGGGACCUUCUGGUGCUUCUCAGCAGCUGUCAGCUUGUGGCUCCCAUGAGAACAACUCUGCCUGUGGGAUUGCAGCAUUUUGGUUUCACUCCAGGACGGAUCCAGAAGCAGAGACAUGUCAGGAAAAUCUGUGGAGUUUCCCAUCCUGUUAGACAGCAUUGCAGACAUGCAACUGUGAGGAGAAAAUCCCUGUUUGCGUGUAUCACAACAGCUUGCUGGUUCCCCCCAGGCUGUCACCUGGGCCAUGAGCACCUCUGCUUUCCUCUCCUAGCAGCGAGCAGCCUCGGUUCGACCCACCAUUGCGGUCUCCUGCCACCACACAGCCACCCCGACCCCAGGCAGUGCUUCAUGCCACCCCCAGGCCUCCACAGGGGCAGGUUGACCCCAUCUUCACAUUAAGGUGUGCUAGGAACAUAGAUGCGACAACAUCAGCCUGGGACGGGAUGGCCCAGCCGAGCUGGUGGGGUGCCGUGGGGGCUGUGCAGAGGCCUUCCUGUGUGCCCUGCGGACACCUUCCUGCCUACAACAGGCCUUGUAAUGAUGAGAGGUAAUGGCCUUAAUGGCCUCAAGAUGGGAGGUACGGGUUGUAUAUUAGUAACAAUUUCUUCUCUGAAAGAGCAGUGAGGCACUGACACAGCUGCUCAGGGAGGGGGGGGAGUCACCAUCCCUGGAGGUGUCCAAGAAUCAUGGAGAUGAGCACUGAGGGACAUGGGCAGAGGACACGGUGCAGCUUCCUGAAAGACUUGUGAGCUGACCCAGGAGUACUUCGCUUCCCCUGGGAGCACAGAGCCAGUUCCAAGCAGCAUGAGGGCUGGAAAACAUCAGGAAUCCUUCCAGACAAUGCAGACACCGCGGCCAAUAAAAAACUGGUGUUGAGCUUCCUCUUGGCUGCAGAGUAGGAGGAGAGCAUCAGGAGCAGAUGGCCCGUCAGCACGAGCAUCGCCCCAGCCCAGCCCGCAUUCCACACUCACUGCAUCUCCAUUCUUGCCAAGCAUGAUCGAUGCAUCUCUUCCUGCCUGAGCAGGGAGAUAAUAUUCAUCACACUUGGUUUAUGAGGAAUACAAGUAUCAAGAGGAUGGAUGACUUGACUGACGACACAACAGGAAGUUUGCGGCAGCACUUGGAAAUUGGUUUGGGUUUCCUAAAUCACAGACAGAAGCUUUAAUCACAA